CCUACGGGUGGCAGCAGUGGGGAAUAUUGGGCAAUGGGCGCAAGUCUGACCCAGCAAUGCCGCGUGCAGGAAGAAGGCUCUCGGGUUGUAAACUUCUUUUUUCAGGGACGAAGACAGUGACGGUACCUGCGGAAUAAGCCACGGCUAACUACGUGCCAGCAGCCGCGGUAAUACGUAGGUGGCAAGCGUUAUCCGGAUUUAUUGGGUGUAAAGGGCGUGUAGGCGGGAGGGCAAGUCAGAUGUGAAAACUCAGGGCUCAACGCUGGGCCUGCAUUUGAAACUGUGUUUCUUGAGUGCUGGUGAGGCAAGCGGAAUGUCGGGUGUAGCGGUGAAAUGCGUAGAUAUA
rnacentral:rRNA from 1 species